UAGUCAUAUGCUUGUCUUAAAGAUUAACCCAUGCAUGUGUAAGUAUAGUAUCAUACAGCGAGACUGCGAAUGGCUCAUUAAAACAGUUAUAGUUUAUUUGAUGGAUAAAGAUAUGGAUAACCGUAGUAAUUCUAGAGCUAAUACAUGCGUGAAAGCCUUCCGCAAGGAGGGCUGUAUUUAUUAGAUAAAGCCAGCAUUUAGGUGACUCAUAAUAACUUAGCGAAUCGCGGAUUUUAUCUGCGAUAUGUCAUUCAAGUAUCUGCCCUAUCAGCUUUGAUGGUAGUGUAUUGGACUACCAUGGCAUUAACGGGUAACGGGGAAUUAGGGUUCGAUUCCGGAGAAAGAGCCUGAGAAACGGCUAUUACAUCUAAGGACGGCAGCAGGGGCGUAAAUUACCCAAUCUUAAUUUAAGGAGGUAGUGACAAGAAAUAUCGAACCGGAGCAAUCCGGGAUUGGAAUGGGCCAAACGUAAAACCCUUGGCGAGUAACAAUUG
rnacentral:rRNA from 1 species